rnacentral:rRNA from 1 species
GAUGAACGCUGGCGGCGUGCCUAAUACAUGCAAGUCGAGCGAACAGACGAGGAGCUUGCUCCUCUGACGUUAGCGGCGGACAGGUGAGUAACACGUGGAUAACCUACCUAUAAGACUGGGAUAACUUCGGGAAACCGGAGCUAAUACCGGAUAAUAUAUUGAACCGCAUGGUUCAAUAGUGAAAGACGGUUUUGCUGUCACUUAUAGAUGGAUCCGCGCCGCAUUAGCUAGUUGGUAAGGUAACGGCUUACCAAGGCAACGAUGCGUAGCCGACCUGAGAGGGUGAUCGGCCACACUGGAACUGAGACACGGUCCAGACACCUACGGGAGGCAGCAGUAGGGAAUCUUCCGCAAUGGGCGAAAGCCUGACGGAGCAACGCCGCGUGAGUGAUGAAGGUCUUCGGAUCGUAAAACUCUGUUAUUAGGGAAGAACAAAUGUGUAAGUAACUAUGCACGUCUUGACGGUACCUAAUCAGAAAGCCACGGCUAACUACGUG